GCCGGGGUGGCCGAGCGGUCUAAGGCGGCGGGCUGCAGAGGACCUGGCCCGUAGAGACCCGUUAGUUCCCGGGUUCGAAUCCCGGCCCCGGCU
rnacentral:tRNA from 2 species